CGGGGAUGUGUGGAGUGGUGGUCAGCUCUAACGUGUCCCUUGCAGACUUUCACAGCUCCAUCAUUCGAUGACAAGAUUCUGGAGGUGGUCGCCGUGUUCGGCAGCAUGCAGAUGGCCGUCUCUCGAGUCAUCAGGCUGCAGCAUCAUCGGAUCGCCCAGUGUCGCACGGUGAAGAUCUCCAUCCUUGGGGAUGAGGGCGUGCCUGUGCAGGUGGACGGAGAGGCCUGGGUCCAGCCGCCAGGGUACAUUCGGAUUGUCCACAAGAACCGG
rnacentral:sRNA from 1 species